UUUUUUUAUUUUCUCUUAUUUUUAAUAGUUUAUUUUCGAAGAGAUUCGUGAAGAUAAAUGAGAUAAUCUCGUUUUGAAGAAAAUAAUUUUGAGAAUUUCAUUCGGAAGAGAAUGAUCUUGCAAAUCCUUUCAUAAAAAAAACGUGAAAAAAAUUAUUAGAGGGCUAAAAAAUGAAAAUCCAUCCGUGAAAGAAUUUUAGUUCCUGCCAUGAGUCCGUAGAGAUGGUCUAAGCGUCUCCUCGGAAUGAUGCAACGCAGCUUACUACUCCUCCCACGCCUCUUCCUCCUCGCGCCCCGAGACCGCGCAACCCGGCAUCAGCACGAUCGAAUACGCGAGUCGGGCUCGGGCCAGGCGGUGAGGCCGGCAGGCUAACCUCCUCCACCUCGUAAUCAACCAAUCUCUCCCGGAGGAGGGACUUAGGGAGGGGUGAGGACUGAGCAGCGAGGCAUGCUCCUGCUGCGGCGCUUUGCCGGGACCGGUCGGCGGCGGGGCCUCGCGGGGCUCGCCUCUGGGGUCCCCCGGGAGACGGCGGACGCCGUGGUGGUGGGCGCCGGCGUCGUAGGCCUCGCGGUGGCGCGCGCGCUGGCGAUGGCCGGGCGCGAGGUGGUCGUGGUCGAGGUGGCCUCCAGCUUCGGCACCGGCACCAGCUCCCGCAACAGCGAGGUCAUCCACGCCGGAAUCUACUACCCUCCUCGCAGCCUCAUGGCUUGUCUUUGUGUAAGAGGAAAGGAAAUGCUCUACAAGUACUGUGCAGAACGAUGGAUCCCCCACAAACGGCUCGGUAAACUCAUCGUUGCUACUGGUCUUGCAGAGACUGCUAAGCUGGACAUGCUCCUCACGAAUGCUAAACAAAAUGGAGUUGAUGAUCUUCAGAUGAUGGAAGGUUCUCAAGCUAUGGAGAUGGAACCUGAGCUUCGAUGUCUUAAAGCUUUACUAUCACCUAGUACCGGGAUAAUUGACUCUCAUUCAUUCAUGCUCUCCCUUUUGGCUGAUGCUGAGAACUUAGGAACAACCAUAUCAUAUAACACAGCAGUUAUCGGUGGGCAUGUCGGAUAUGAAGGCCUUGAACUCCAUAUUUCUGAAAGCAAAGAGCUGCACAAACAUUCUUUAGGGUCUCAUGUGUCCCCACAGCUCACUUUGCUUCCAAAGCUUCUGAUAAACUCAGCAGGUUUGAGCGCAGUUCCACUUGCCAAAAGAUUUCAUGGUCUCAACCCAUCAUUUGUGCCCACUGCUUAUUAUGCUCGUGGAUGUUACUUCACUCUCUCUCAAACCAAGAGUCCUUUCAGCCACUUAAUAUAUCCUCUACCAGAGGAUGGUGGUAUAGGGGUCCAUGUCACGCUGGACUUGAAUGGCCUUGUUAGAUUUGGCCCAGAUGUUGAAUGGAUAGACAGUGGAAUGGACCCUGUGUCAUGUUUUCUGAAUAGGUUUGAUUACUCAGUUAACCCCACCACGUGUUCCAAAUUUUACCCUGUGAUAAGGAAGUAUUUUCCAAAUCUCAAGGAUGGGUCUUUGGAACCAGGUUAUUCUGGGAUGCGACCAAAGCUUUCAGGCCCUGGACAGCCUCCUUCAGAUUUUGUUAUUCAGGGGGAGGAUGUCCAUGGUAUUCCUGGACUGGUUAACUUAUUUGGAAUAGAAUCCCCUGGUUUGACAUCAAGCUUGGCAAUUGCAGAACAUAUCGUUUCAAGAUAUUUGUGAUGGGAUUCCCCUAACCGGCACUUCAUUGUCAGACAGUCGCUGCUUCAUAUUUGUAGCAGGAUGAAACCAAUGUGUCUGGACCAGGAUUUACCAACAAGUGAUCGAGUAAAGAGUAUUUUGAGUUGUUUUUUCGUUGGCUCUUAUUGCUAUGUAGAUGCUGUUAGGAGCUGAAAUUUGUUGGAAGUUUCAAAGAAAAAUAAACUGUGACUGGCACCGGUUCCGAUUCAAGGGGAAUGUAUGGAGAACCUUCAAGAAUUUGGCAGGGGAAUAUAUUCAAAUAUCCAAUGCAUUGUUUUUUUGGGGGGGGGGGGGUGUAAAUUCU